GGGGGUCUAGAGAUGUAUUGCUGUCUACAACAUAGGUCUUUUGCAGUUUUCAAAGUUUUCAAAUUAAAAUAUUCUGGAGAUGUACUCUUCAGUUUGACCAUCAAUUAUCUUCUGAUGAGCGAAUAUUCAAAUUGUCUAUUGUUUACAAAAACAUAUAUUAUCAAUAAAGACAUUUAUGUGCAUUUACAAAGAUAAAAUAAUUAUUUUUAAACCAUUCAACG
rnacentral:lncRNA from 1 species